rnacentral:rRNA from 1 species
GACGAACGCUGGCGGCGUGCCUAAUACAUGCAAGUAGAACGCUGAAGGAGGAGCUUGCUUCUCUGGAUGAGUUGCCAACGGGUGAGUAACGCGUAGGUAACCUGCCUGGUAGCGGGGGAUAACUAUUGGAAACGAUAGCUAAUACCGCAUAAGAGUAGAUGUUGCAUGACAUUUGCUUAAAAGGUGCAAUUGCAUCACUACCAGAUGGACCUGCGUUGUAUUAGCUAGUUGGUGGGGUAACGGCUCACCAAGGCGACGAUACAUAGCCGACCUGAGAGGGUGAUCGGCCACACUGGGACUGAGACACGGCCCAGACUCCUACGGGAGGCAGCAGUAGGGAAUCUUCGGCAAUGGACGGAAGUCUGACCGAGCAACGCCGCGUGAGUGAAGAAGGUUUUCGGAUCGUAAAGCUCUGUUGUAAGAGAAGAACGAGUGUGAGAGUGGAAAGUUCACACUGUGACGGUAUCUUACCAGAAAGGGACGGCUAACUACGUG